rnacentral:rRNA from 1 species
ACGAACGCUGGCGGCGUGCCUAAUACAUGCAAGUAGAACGCUGAAGGAGGAGCUUGCUUCUCUGGAUGAGUUGCGAACGGGUGAGUAACGCGUAGGUAACCUGCCUGGUAGCGGGGGAUAACUAUUGGAAACGAUAGCUAAUACCGCAUAAUAGCAGUUGUUGCAUGACAACUGUUUGAAAGGUGCAAAUGCAUCACUACCAGAUGGACCUGCGUUGUAUUAGCUAGUUGGUGGGGUAAAGGCUCACCAAGGCGACGAUACAUAGCCGACCUGAGAGGGUGAUCGGCCACACUGGGACUGAGACACGGCCCAGACUCCUACGGGAGGCAGCAGUAGGGAAUCUUCGGCAAUGGACGGAAGUCUGACCGAGCAACGCCGCGUGAGUGAAGAAGGUUUUCGGAUCGUAAAGCUCUGUUGUAAGAGAAGAACGAGUGUGAGAGUGGAAAGUUCACACUGUGACGGUAUCUUACCAGAAAGGGACGGCUAACUACGUG